rnacentral:rRNA from 1 species
GGCGAACGCUGGCGGCGUGCUUAACACAUGCAAGUCGAACGGAAAGGCCCUGCUUUUGUGGGGUGCUCGAGUGGCGAACGGGUGAGUAACACGUGAGUAACCUGCCCUUGACUUUGGGAUAACUUCAGGAAACUGGGGCUAAUACCGGAUAGGAGCUCCUGCUGCAUGGUGGGGGUUGGAAAGUUUCGGCGGUUGGGGAUGGACUCGCGGCUUAUCAGCUUGUUGGUGGGGUAGUGGCUUACCAAGGCUUUGACGGGUAGCCGGCCUGAGAGGGUGACCGGCCACAUUGGGACUGAGAUACGGCCCAGACUCCUACGGGAGGCAGCAGUGGGGAAUAUUGCACAAUGGGCGGAAGCCUGAUGCAGCAACGCCGCGUGCGGGAUGACGGCCUUCGGGUUGUAAACCGCUUUCGCCUGUGACGAAGCGUGAGUGACGGUAAUGGGUAAAGAAGCACCGGCGAACUACGU